AACGAACGCUGGCGGCAGGCUUAACACAUGCAAGUCGAGCGCCCCUCCUUCAAGCAAGCUUGAAGGAAUUUUUCCUUGAAAAGAGAAGAUCAGAAAGCUUCUAAAGAAGCUUUCUUGAUGGAGGGGAGCGGCAGACGGGUGAGUAACGCGUGGGAACCUACCCUUCUCUACGGAACAGUCCUGGGAAACUGGGUUUAAUACCGUAUACGCCCUUUUGGGGAAAGAUUUAUCGGAGAAGGAUCGGCCCGCGUUGGAUUAGGUAGUUGGUGGGGUAAUGGCCUACCAAGCCGACGAUCCAUAGCUGGUUUGAGAGGAUGAUCAGCCACACUGGGACUGAGACACGGCCCAGACUCCUACGGGAGGCAGCAGUGGGGAAUCUUAGACAAUGGGGGCAACCCUGAUCUAGCCAUGCCGCGUGAGUGAUGAAGGCCUUAGGGUUGUAAAGCUCUUUCAGCUGGGAAGAUAAUGACGGUACCAGCAGAAGAAGCCCCGGCUAACUCCGUGCCAGCCGCCGCCGUAAAAC
rnacentral:rRNA from 1 species